GUUAAGUUAUUAAGGGUGUACGGUGGAUGCCUUGGCAUCAGAAGGCGAUGAAGGGCGUAGCAAGCUGCGAUAAGCCUCGGGAAGCCGCAAGCAGGCCGUGAUCCGGGGAUGCCCGAAUGGGGAAACCCAGGCGAUGAAUGCCGCCUAUCCGUCACUGAAUCCAUAGGUGACGUGAAGCCAACGCGGGGAAGUGAAACAUCUCAGUACCCGCAGGAAGAGAAAGCAAUUGCGAUUCCCUGAGUAGUGGCGAGCGAAACGGGAAUAGCCUAAACCUCAUGUAUGUCAAGCCUGUGCGCGUUGUACAUGAGGGGUUGUAGGCCUGUAUUGGACACCGGUACAGCGGUGUCAACGAGUGACAAACCAGCCUGUUAGCAGAAUGGCCUGGAAAGGCCAACCACAGAGGGUGACAGUCCCGUAUGCGAAAACAGGUUGGCUCGUUGGAUGCAGGUCCUGAGUACCACGGGGCUCGAGAAACCUUGUGGGAAUCCGGGAGGACCACCUUCCAAGGCUAAAUACUCUCUGAUGACCGAUAGUGAACCAGUACCGUGAGGGAAAGGCGAAAAGAACCCCGGUGAGGGGAGUGAAAUAGAACCUGAAACCGUAUACCUACAAGCAGCGAAAGGGCUAUGCCCCGCAAGGGGAAUGCCUGAUCGCGUGCCUUUUGCUUAAUGAGCCGGCGAGUUAUUUUGCGUAGCAAGGUUAAGUUGACAAGACGGAGCCGUAGCGAAAGCGAGUCCGAAUAGGGCGCUCAGUUGCGCAGAAUAGACCCGAAGCGAGGUGAUCUACCCAUGGCCAGGGUGAAUCCGUCGUAACAGAUGGAGGAGGCCCGAACCGUUGUUUGUUGCAAAAAGCUCGGAUGAGCUGUGGGUAGGAGUGAAAGGCUAAUCAAACCUCGUAAUAGCUGGUUCUCCCCGAAAUAGCUUUAGGGCUAGCCUUGGAGUCACCGUGGCGGAGGUAGAGCACUGGAUGGGCUAGGGGCGUUAUCGCGCUACCGAACUUAACCAAACUCCGAAUGCCGCUACUGGAUCUCCAGGAGUCAGACUACGGGCGCUAAGGUCCGUGGUCAAAAGGGAAACAGCCCAGACCGCCAGCUAAGGUCCCUAAUUGUAAGCUAAGUGGGAAAGGUUGUGGGUAUGCCCAGACAGCCAGGAGGUUGGCUUAGAAGCAGCCAUCCUUGAAAGAGUGCGUAAUAGCUCACUGGUCGAGUGCGCCUGCGCCGAAAAUGUAACGGGGCUUAAGUUUACAACCGAAGCUGCGGGCUUGUCCCGAAAGGGAUGAGCGGUAGGGGAGCAUUCUCUGUGAGGUGAAGGUCGACCGGCAAGGACGGCUGGAUCGCAGAGAAGAGAUUAUGCCGGCAUAAGUAGCGAUUAACGAUGUGAGAAUCAUCGUCCCCGUAAGCCUAAGGUUUCCUGGCCAAUGUUCGUCAGGUCAGGGUUAGUCGGUCCCUAAGGCGAGGCCGAAAGGCGUAGUCAAUGGGAAACAGGUCAACAUUCCUGUACCGCCAUGUUCGCGUUAUCAACGAAGGGGGGACGCAGAAGGGUAGGCACCGCCGGGUCCCUGGAAUACCCGGUCCAAGCGUGUAGGCGGGAUUCGUAGGCAAAUCCGCGAAUCCGUUAACGCCGAGGCGUGAUGGGGAGGCCGCAAGGCCACAAACGGGCUGAUCCCACACUGCCGAGAAAAGCCUCGUAGUGAGUGGGCAUGGUGACCGUACCGCAAACCGACACAGGUAGGCGAGUGGAAUACACUCAGGGGCGUGAGAGAACACUCCCUAAGGAACUCUGCAAACUAGCCCCGUAACUUCGGGAGAAGGGGUGCCUCGCGUACGUGAGAGGACUUGCUCCUUGAGCGGAACGAGGUCGCAGUGAAAUGGCUCUGGCGACUGUUUACCAAAAACACAGGACUCUGCUAACUCGUAAGAGGAUGUAUAGGGUCUGAUGCCUGCCCGGUGCUGGAAGGUUAACUGGAGAUGUCAGCCGCAAGGCGAAGCUUCGAAGGGAAGCCCCAGUAAACGGCGGCCGUAACUAUAGAGAAGGGCCACUGUAGUUCCGAAAACAAAUCCGGCUAUAUGCUGGGACACCCGGUGGAUGCUCCGGUACUCGCCACGAUCAUGGUGGCAGUGACAAACCAGGAGAUGCGGGCAAUCAGCAGGAAAGGCUUGGGUUAUGCUCAAAGUCAACGAGAUCCCUGCAAACAUCGGCUAUUAUCUGGCUGGGUUUGCGGAUGGAGAAGGAAGUUUCAAUGUCUCCUUCCGACCGCGGAGUGAUUACAAGACUCCGUGGAAAAUUUCGCUCUGCUUUAACAUUUCGCAACGUGAUCAAGUGAUAUUAGCACUCUAUAAGCGUCACUUGCAUUGCGGAACGAUGAGGCAGAGGCAAGAUGGCGUCUGGUACUACGAAGUCAAUAACCUUACGGCCAUUGCUGAAAAUGUGAUUCCGUUCUUUGAGCGCUUUGGGUUUUUGUCAGCGAAGAAAAAACGGGACUUUGCCAAGUUUCGGCAGUUGGCUGAACUGAUGAGCAAAGGUCGGCAUCUUCAUCGUGAUGGGAUUGAAGAGAUUCUUCGAAUCCGACGCGAUAUGAAUGACGGUGGAAAACGCCGGUAUUCAGAUGAUGAAAUCCUCAAGCGACUUGAGAAUCCUCAGAGACUGUACGCCGGACUCAACGCAUAGUUGAAGAAGAUACAGUCCGAUCUGUAUGGCGACAUCCAGAGCGCGACAGAAAUGAUCGCGUCCUCCUUGGUGAGAGCCGAGGAGAGUAACAACAUGAACGGUCCUAAGGUAGCGAAAUUCCUUGUCGGGUAAGUUCCGACCUGCAUGAAUGGCAUAACGAUUGGAGCGCUGUCUCGGGGAGUGACUCAGCGAACUUGUGGUUCCGGUGAAGACGCCGGGUGCCCGCAACUAGACGGAAAGACCCUGUGCACCUUUACUACAACUUGACAUUGGGUGUUGGGCGACUAUGUGUAGGAUAGGUGGGAGACGGUGAAGCGGGGGCGCUAGUUCCCGUGGAGUCAUCCUUGAAAUACCACCCUUAUUUUUCCGACAUUCUAACCUGGCUCUGUCAUCCAGGGCAGGGACAGUGUCUGGUGGGUAGUUUGACUGGGGCGGUCGCCUCCCAAAAAGUAACGGAGGCGCCCAAAGGUUCCCUCAGGCUGGUCGGCAAUCAGCCGUCGAGUGUAAAGACAAAAGGGAGCUUGACUGCGAGACGGACGCGUCGAGCAGGGACGAAAGUCGGGCUUAGUGAUCCGGUGGUCCUAGGUGGAAGGGCCAUCGCUCAACGGAUAAAAGGUACGCCGGGGAUAACAGGCUGAUCUCCCCCAAGAGUUCACAUCGACGGGGAGGUUUGGCACCUCGAUGUCGACUCAUCGCAUCCUGGGGCUGAAGCGGGUCCCAAGGGUCGGGCUGUUCGCCCGUUAAAGCGGUACGAGAGUUGGGUUCAGAACGUCGUGAGACAGUUCGGUCCCUAUCUGUUGUGGGCGUAGGAGAUUUGAGAGGGUCUGUCUCUAGUACGAGAGGAUUGAGAUGGACGGACCUCUAGUGUGCCGGUUGUCGCGCCAGCGGCAGCGCCGGGUAGCUAUGUCCGGUUCGGAUAACCGCUGAAAGCAUCUAAGCGGGAAGCCAGCCUCAAGACAAGAUCUCCCGGAGGGUAACCCUCCCUAAAGGCCACUCGUAGACGACGAGUUUGAUAGGCUGGAUGUGGAAGAGCUGUAAGGCUUGAAGCUAACCAGUACUAAUCGGCCGUGCGACUUAACAUC
rnacentral:rRNA from 2 species